AGUUAAAUAUUUUUAUUUCGUCAGAGACACAUUUAUAUUCACUUUAAAAAUGGCAGAAGACAGAACUAGGACCCCAGACUGGUGUAGGUGUCGGCGUUGUGGGCCAAUGGCGACCGAAAUAGAGUCCGUGUGUUGCCGUAAUUUUCCUCAGGUGACCGGGGUUUUCCCCGAAGGAGGAAGUUGUAUCACAACCGCCCCGAGGUUCACUGAAAUCAUUGCGACCAACUUAGAGGAACCGCCUGUUGUUGAUGCAGACGCAAAUAAGCGCCGAAGAAGAAAAGCUUACCGUUCUUUUAUCAAAUGGAUUUACGGAUCUCUGGGCAGCGGAAACAGAAACGUAAUUCCUUCCUGCGCAGUCAGAGCCAUCCGAGAAACAUUUCCUGAUCCUAACGGAUCGUACGUCGGAUUUUCCUACUCUGAAGACGCCUCAGAAAUGGCUUUUGAUUAAAAUUUUAAAUGUUUAAAA